rnacentral:rRNA from 1 species
CAAUAGCGUAUAUUAAAGUUGUUGCGGUUAAAAAGCUCGUAGUUGGAUUUCUGUUGAGGACGACCGGUCCGCCCUCUGGGUGAGUAUCUGGCUCGGCCUUGGCAUCUUCUUGGAGAACGUAACUGCACUUGACUGUGUGGUGCGGUAUCCAGGACUUUACUUGAGGAAAUUAGAGUGUUUCAAGCAGGCGUACGCCUUGAAUACAUUAGCAUGGAAUAAUGAGAUAGGACCUUGGUUCUAUUUUGUUGGUUUCUAGAGCUGAGGUAAUGAUUAAUAGGGAUAGUUGGGGGCAUUCGUAUUUAAUUGUCAGAGGUGAAAUUCUUGGAUUUAUUAAAGACGGACUACUGCGAAAGCAUUUGCCAAGGAUGUUUUCAUUGAUCAAGAACGAAAGUUAGGGGAUCGAAGACGAUCAGAUACC